GCCGGGCGCGGUGGCAUGUGCCUGUAAUCCAAGUCACUGGGAGGCUGAGGUUGGUGGAUCAAGUGAGCUGAGGAGCUCUGGGCUGCAGCACGCUAUGUCGAACGGGUGUCCACGCUAAGUUCGGUAUCGACAUGGUGAUCCUGGGGGAGCCCGGGACCACCAGGUUGUCUAAGGAGGGGUGCACCGGCCCAGGUCGGAAACGAAGCAGGUCAAAUCCCCCGUGCUGUCCAGUAGUGGGAUAAUACCUGUGAGUAGAUGCUGCAGUGCAGCCUUGGCAAGACAUCGUGACCUAACCUUUU
ensembl:misc_RNA Metazoa_SRP Metazoan signal recognition particle RNA